rnacentral:rRNA from 1 species
ACGCUAGCUACAGGCUUAACACAUGCAAGUCGAGGGGAAACGGCAUUAAGUGCUCGCACUUUUUGGACGUCGACCGGCGCACGGGUGAGUAACGCGUAUCCAACCUUCCCAUGACUAAGGGAUAACCUGCCGAAAGGCAGACUAAUACCUUAUGGUCUUCACUGACGGCAUCAGAUGUGUAGUAAAGAUUUAUCGGUUAUGGAUGGGGAUGCGUCUGAUUAGCUUGUUGGCGGGGUAACGGCCCACCAAGGCAACGAUCAGUAGGGGUUCUGAGAGGAAGGUCCCCCACAUUGGAACUGAGGCACGGUCCAAACUCCUACGGGAGGCAGCAGUGAGGAAUAUUGGUCAAUGGGCGAGAGCCUGAACCAGCCAAGUAGCGUGCAGGAUGACGGCCCUAUGGGUUGUAAACUGCUUUUGUAUGGGGAUAAAGUCAAUCACGUGUGAUUGUUUGCAGGUACCAUACGAAUAAGGACCGGCUAAUUCCGUGCCAGCAGCCGCGGUAAUACGGAAGGUCCGGGCGUUAUCCGGAUUUAUUGGGUUUAAAGGGAGCGUAGGCUGGAGAUUAAGUGUGUUGUGAAAUGUAGACGCUCAACGUCUGACUUGCAGCGCAUACUGGUUUCCUUGAGUACGCACAACGUUGGCGGAAUUCGUCGUGUAGCGGUGAAAUGCUUAGAUAUGACGAAGAACUCCGAUUGCGAAGGCAGCUGACGGGAGCGCAACUGACGCUGAAGCUCGAAGGUGCGGGUAUCGAACAGGAUUAGAUACCCUGGUAGUCCGCACAGUAAACGAUGGAUGCCCGCUGUUGGUACCUGGUAUCAGCGGCUAAGCGAAAGCAUUAAGCAUCCCACCUGGGGAGUACGCCGGCAACGGUGAAACUCAAAGGAAUUGACGGGGGCCCGCACA